AGAAAAGAAACAGAAUAGAAGAGACGAAACAGAGAAAGAAACAGAGAGCAAAACGGGCAGAGAAGGAAGGAAAGAAAGAAAGAAAGAAAGAAAAAGAAAAAGGAAAUUUAAGGUUUUAAGGUUCCAAGCUCAAUUGCUAAUGUCGUGCACGAGUCAUUGUCCGAGAAAGGAAAGGAGAAAGUGGACAAGGAGUGACUCGAGAGAAAUUCCGGUUAGUAAAAAAAAACCAGUGUUCGAUCCAGCAUCCAAAGUAAUCCCGACCUCAGAGACAUUUUAGUGAUGUACCUUUCUGUUGAUAAUGUGGCAUGUACUUAAGUAAUGUACAUACCUAAGUAAUGUAUAGGGAUUAGUCAUUUUGAAUGUUUGUAUCUAUGAGAUUGCUAAAGAAAGAUGUGUGAGUAUGUGAUAAUGUUUGGUAAUAUGUAUAUUUAGAUGAUAAAUCAUGCAUGGAAAUCAUGAAAGAGUAAAAGUUUGCAAAUAAACAGAUUUCAAGCAGCUACAGUAAUGUGACUUUGAAAAAUCACCUAGGAUAGUAUAAAAUUAAUUAGAGGGUGAAUGAUAUAUGAAAUGAAAGUUUGUUGAGUCUAUUUUUAUAGAAAAAUAACAGUUUAGCAAAAUGAAUUUUAUAUUUUAAGAUAUGUGAAUUUUAGUGAGACAGAGUCAGAAC